GCACUAUUCUCAAAACAGCUGCGUGUGAAGAUUGGGAGAGAGGAAUAAAACACGCCGCUGGAGUGGGGCAUAAGUCAAAAAAAAGAGAAGAGAAAAUGAAGGAAGCGACGGCAUCUAGAUAAAUCAGAGGCAGAGCGGUCCGGAGAGCUCCGGGUGGCCCAAGGCAGCUGCAGGGGCUGAUGGAUGGCUUGGGACAAAGCAGGUUGCAUCCCACUGUGAACAGAGGGAGAUGGCUCAGCUGUUUGACAGCUGGAAAACCACGGACUCUGCUUCUAAGAAUGACCUGGGCCAGUCAGCCAGGACACAAGCGAAGUUCCGGGUGAUCACUGCUUGCAUUCUGCCACCGCAACAUCACCACCUCCUCACCAGCCUUUCGGUCCCACCUCUCAUCCCCCAUCCCUGUUAAAUCCCAAGUACACGUCCGUUAAGCUAUACCUAAUAAAAUGACUUAGAUUUUA